CCCAAAUUGAUUUAACCAUCAAUGGCAGCAUCCAUUUAAGGGCUGCUAGUGCUCUGGCCCUGGCUGCCCAAAUGCAGCUGAAUGCGCAUUGAGCCCCCUUUUGCUCUCUUUCCCACCAUUGGGUAUCAAAGGCUAUUGUGUCCAGAGAAAGUAGAGGGGUCACCCAUUUACCCCCUGUGGGUCAACCACGAGCUGGGACAGAGGGCAAAGUGAAAUAGCAGAGGAAGGAGAGCGGCAAGGGUGAGGAGGUCCUGAAGUGCAACAUCAGGACAGAGCACUUCCAGUUGUCGGUGCAGGAGGAGAUAAGUAUGUGUGUGUGGCUCUGACGUCAAUGCAGCCAUUUAAUAUGGCACACAGAAAAUAUUUGGAAUCCGAGGCAUCUGUGUGCUGUUAUCACUGGAAUGGAUGUUCCUGUUUGGGCCCCGGCUUUCUCUCCACAGUUGGCUCCCUCCCCAAGGAUGUGUUUACCAUGGCUGGAGUCAACCCAAGGAAGUAGAUUCUUUUCUUCACAACUCAAUACCUGCAGUUGUUGUUCUUUUCUUUUCCUCACUGUAAUUCUCAUGUGUAGUCUAAGAAACAAAAUAAUCAAGGAAAAUUAAAACCCUUGCGCAUUGGUGAAUUUUCAGUGGUUUGCAACAGAGAUGUCACAUGACCCGCCUCCAGACCUGGCCAAUUGCUGGCUUCAAAGGGCUCCAAAAUCAGCUUGUUUAUUUUGGCUUUUUACAAUGUAACCAUAUCUGCAGAACACCUCUGAUCCAGUUUCACUUUUGUUUGGCUGGAGCACACUGAUGCCCGGGAAGAAGCAUAAAAUGAAUACUCUUUCUGCAGUAGCAUCAGUAACGCUUGGCGGUGUACAGCAAAUAAGAGACCACUGGGUUCUGCACUGUUUGAUAUUUAGAGAAAGGAGGAGAUUUGAAUAAUGCGAUUAGGGAUGAGGUAAUACUACGCUGCCCUGCCAGGUGUAAGAUCCACUGAUACACAGUCCAGGAUUAACACAGAUGUGUUUUUCUACUUGUGAGCAGCUGUGAAAAGAGAAAGCUGACAUGCUUUCUGUGUUGAGAGCGGAUAUGUUAAAAUGCUUGGGGCGAGGAGGUGAAUGGAAUUUCAUUUGUGGUGCUCACAGCUUUAGAAAACCACACUGAAAAAUAACAUUAAAAACAAAAUCUAUUUCCUGUAAUAGUGUCACUAAGACCCCCUUUACACCUGACAUUAAAAUACGUUUUGGGUGAUCGGAUUGAAAUCGGAUAGUGCUUGACCACAUGAAAGUACAGGUGUAAAUGCACCCAAGACGCACUGAGGACGGAUUGUGAUCCGAUUGGCCCAACCACCCCCAGGACAUGGUCAGGGACGCUUUGUGACCACAUUGAACACAAGUGUAAAUGCAAAUGCAUUGUCAAUCCACGUACAACAACUGCAUGGGAGAAAUACGUACUGGUCGCAGUCUCUGCAAAUGAAAGUUUGAAGGUGCAUACAGGCAGCGUUGUGCAUGAACGUGCUUAAAGAGUGCCGUUCAUUGAACGUGCUCAUGUUUGUGGUGAACGGUGAACUGAACAUAUCCAUUUGCGAACAUGAACUGAGUUAAAGUCAAUAUAAACUACUAAAAUAACAGAAAGGUGUGCACAUUAUGAAGAAAGGUAGCACAAGGAAACGAUGCCAUGUGGCAAACUUAAGUGUUACUUUUACUUUUCUCUGCGGAGCAAUUACAUCGGUGCAGCGCUGAAGAAUGAGGGAAGCCGGCUCAGAGAUGGUUUACAAAGUUAUUAUACAGUCUAUAGUUAUAGAGAAUCUUUGGCCGGCGCAUUAAGUUAAGUCGGAACACCUGUGUGGACACCCUGCAUCUCAGCAGAGAGAAAUAAAGAUAAGAAAGUAGUGUUCAGCUUGCAGUUUACCCAUAAGAACACGAGCCAGCUGCAAAGUUCCUUCACCCAAAUCAAACUCACAGCAUUUUGUUGGGUUUUUGCAUAUGAGAGGAGAAUGUGACAUAUGGUUGUUUGCGCUGGACAGAGCGAUCGGAUCUCGAUCGGAUCUCAAUGUGGACACUGGACAUAUCAGGUUAAAAUCAUAUCUAGAUACAAUCUGGAUGCGAGACGCAUUUCAAUGCCAGGUGUAAAGGGGGUCUGUCACUCAUUAUCCACAGUCCUCACUGUGUUAAUAGGGACUGUUUCUUUAGUAUAAUGUAGCUGUGAUAACUGUUGACAUUGAGGUCUGUAGAUUUUCCAGAAUAAUUUUGGGUUCAUGUCAUAUCGUUCAGGCCGUAACGGGAAAAACAGUUCAUGUCAGCCUCCUAGCUGCAAUUCCAAGUCAGAGAUAUCUCCCACUUGCCAAAAAGCACUACAGAAGUGUCAACAUGUCAGCAAAAUGGCUGCAAAGCCACCAUCGCUAAUAUCACAAUAAAAUCCAAUAUUAACUCUGAUUCAGUCGAUUCAACAAAUUAAAAAGGAGCUAUAAACAGUUUAUUUUGUUUAGUUUCACUUAACAAACUGCUUCAAAUAUGUAAUGCAAUAUAUUUAUAUUGUCUGACUACAGGGCUAGGCAAUUAUCAAGAGCCACACAUACAUUCUUCGCAGGUGCUGGGUAGCAAUUAUUCUCAUGUCCAUGUAAAAUAAAAGAGGAACUGGGAAUGAGACGGCAGUGUGUGGCUAUUUUUUCAUUUUUUUGUGACUACAAAAAUUUGGAUUACCAUCUUGGAAUACUGCAUGAAUGCUCCAUGUUGGAAGAAUAUUCCUAUAUAAGAGUAUUCCUAUGCUUCCUGUUCUGUGAAUGCUGCAUAAAGGCCCAGUCACAACAUAAUUUAAAAUUCAUUCUGCGCAAAUCUGUCAUGUGGAGUUCAACUUUGGUGAACUUUGUCACACAAAUUUGUGCAUUUGCCUAAUAGCAAACUGUCUUGACAGUGCUGAGCUUUGAGGGAACAGAAAGUUGGAGAGUUGUGUUGCAGCAUUUGCUGAUGAUUUUCCUCUGCCAGUGCUUAAACUGCUCCACAACAGAGACAUGGUUCAAUCAUGAGACAGGUGUCAAUGGUACAAAUACUGCACGUCUCGAGUAAACCAUGUGAACUUGUGUCCCAUUAGCGACUGAAGUAGCCAGUUAGCAAUCUAGCUAGCUUGAAGAGCUAUUGUGACUGACUGGUGCUAGCAUGUUUCAUGGCUAGCAUGUUAGUGGUUAGCUCACCAGCUACACUAGUUUACCAACAAGCCCUGUGCAUACUCACUACGCCACCAAGCUUCUAGCACCGGGGCUUAACUGGGACACUGUUUCUGUUUGAGUACUGUGAGCACCAGAAAUAAAAUGUCAUACACCUAACUUGUACUGGGAUGGAGGCAGAAAGAUGUAGAUAUCUCAAAAACUGGACAAAUUAAACUAAAACAAUUUGCAAGUCUAGAUACUAUAGAGGUAAAUUCGUUAUUUAUCAGAAGGGCGGGUGGCUGGGUUGUGACUCCGUUUUUUUAUUAUGAUCCUCCCCGGAGCUACAAAUAUUUUUCCUUGAGCCUCCCUGAAUGACUGGGGGAAAAUGCAUGGCCCUCCCUCCACCAUAAAUAACCAUAUUUUACUAUAUUCACACCAAGGUAGGUAGUAUUGAAGAAAAUAAAAAGCAAAGCCUGACGUUUUCCAACCAUUACGUUUAAUAGCAAACCGUGACUCUCAUCUUCCCUCGUCGGGAAAAAAUUCAAACUACCAGUCCAACUUACGUUGUCCUUUACUAUAGUAGCUAAAGUUACCUAUGACAAUUCCAGCUCUGAAACAAAAAAUAGACGCUAACUUAGUCCAGCCAACGCAACGAGCAAAGAGCACAAAGGGAGUGAGAGUUAUCACCAGUAGGCGAGUGGAGGGGGGGACGAGGGGGGAUGCCAUCCCCCUUGUUAGCAAAAUGGCCGAUAUCUGCCCCCCUUAUUAACCUGCUCAAAAGAUGCUCUGUGCUUCUUGUAGUGGCGCUUUGCAUUGCCGCUUUUAAUAGUCGCCACAAUUUCGGAACAUUUGAGAUAUAUUGGUUUUGAACUGCCUGUGGGAGGAUUGACCAUGUAAUAGUCUGUCCAUUCUUGAUUUAAAGCUAAAGGUAGUAAGUGCAGCAGCAGCAUGACAGAGGCCAUGUCAGAGGCAACAACAGGGCUUGGACCAAAAGUGCUCUUGAAUCCUAAACCUUUUCUUUGCUGUUCUCACUUUUAUUUUUUCAAAUGAAACUUUGUGCUGCAAAUUGAGUGUUUAUUUGACAAUAUAACGUAAUAAUUAUACAUUAUUUCAGAGUUUAGUAAAUGCCCCUGAAAAUCAGUUCAAGGGGUAUUGAGCCAGAACAGGGGUCUGGUUGCCACGAACAAAUAAAGGCCGGUCCCAAAUACAAGUCAGGGGAAAUAAAACAAGGGUGAAUGAACUCCUGGUGCCUGUCAUAUAAUGCGCAUGCCAACUGAACAUAAUGUACAUUUCCAUCACUUUAAUUUGAUAAAUUCAACAAUAUAAUCAUGUUAUUGUCAACACUUUGUUGAUCUAAAGUGAUGCGAUUGGCUGGCCUGCAUUAUCAUCCAGGCAGAGUGCCUCUUCAACCCCUGUUCUUAGAAGGACACAGCCGUGGACAGCUGCAAAAGGGAGAGUUAGCAACAAACCUCCCCAACAACCAAGUGUGCAACUGCAGAACAAAUUUGCUCCACUGUUGCAGGACCCUGGAUCUCUGUCUGAUGACCUGGAUAACCCCUCAUCUUCACACAACAGGGACAAGAUACAAGAGGAAUCAAAACACGAAGAAAACAUAACAGAGUGGCAGAAACCAGAAGGAGAGCUACACUGACAAGAACUUUAAUCAUCAGCGACAUCAGAGCCGAGAGGAAGAGUCUCCAACCCCCUCACCAACAACCACCGUCUCCAGAUUGUGCCGCUCUAUCUCCCGGCUCCAGUCCAUCUCGUAUCUCCUGAGUGUGCUGCUCCGAAUCCUGGCUCCCGUCUGUCUCCUGUGUCCGGAGCUCCUGUGUGUUCCU